rnacentral:rRNA from 2 species
CACGCCGUAAACGAUGCUAACUCGUUUUUGGAUUUUCGGAUUCAGAGACCAAGCGAAAGUGAUAAGUUAGCCACCUGGGGAGUACGUCCGCAAGGAUGAAACUCAAAGGAAUUGACGGGGGCCCGCACAAGCGGUGGAUUAUGUGGUUUAAUUCGAUGAUACGCGAGGAACCUUACCAAGACUUAAAUGGGAAUUGACAGGUUUAGAAAUAAACCCUCCUUCGGGCAAUUUCCAAGGUGC